rnacentral:rRNA from 1 species
UAUUGCACAAUGGGCGCAAGCCUGAUGCAGCCAUGCCGCGUGUGUGAAGAAGGCCUUCGGGUUGGAAAGCACUUUCAGCGGGGAGGAAGGCGACAAGGUUACUAACCUUGUCGAUUGACGUUACCCGCAGAAGAAGCACCGGCUAACUCCGUGCCAGCAGCCGCGGUAAUACGGAGGGUGCAUGCGUUAAUCGGAAUUACUGGGCGUAAAGCGCACGCAGGCGGUCUGUCGAGUCGGAUGUGAAGUCCCAGGGCUCAACCUGGGAACUGCAUUCGAAACUGGCAGGCUAGAGUCGUGUAGAGGGGGGUAGAAUUCCAGGUGUAGCGGUGAAAUGCGUAGAGAUCUGGAGGAAUACCGGUGGCGAAGGCGGCCCCCUGGACAAAGGCUGACGCUCAGGUGCGAAGGCGUGGGGAGCAAACAGG